CCAUCCAAAUCCAUUAAAAAAAGAAAAAAAAGAAAAAAGAAAAAUCACAUUACACUGAGAGAGAGAGCAGCGAGACAGUAGGGAACUUCAACAAAUAAAGAAAAGAAUAUCCGAAAAUUCGAAGAAGAAGAAGCAACUGCCUUAACCAUGGACUUAUGUUAUCCUUUUUCUUGAGGUCGAAUCAUGUUUUGCUAAUACAGCAAGCCUUUGAAAGGAAAAUCAGCCGACAGAAAGGGGAAGAAAGGCAGAAUUUGUCCUGUUCCAUACUUCUGGUUCAGCUCAAGAAUUGAUUAUUAGAAGUCUUUGAGACCCGCUUUUGUUCAUGGAGGGGCUUGAGACCUGUGUUGAAAGUGCUUAGCUUGAGGGGCCAUCCACGCGCGUAUGACAAGAUUAUACAUUUCAAUCAGAGGGUACAUUUUUGGUGAGAUUUCUUAUCAUAUUGUGAUGAGAAAACUUGUUUUCUGUGUAAUUACUUUCUAAUUCAAGCAAGUAAACUUGUUUUCUGUGUAAUUAUUUCCUAAUCAGCACCUACAUUUGGGCCGUAAUACCUCCAUGUAGAAACAAAACAGUUUGAAAUGGAUCUUAUUUAGCAUGGGCCUGCUACUUGUAAUAAAUAAAUGCAGUUCAGAUUAACAGAUAGAGAGAAUUAAAUGAUGAAUUGUACGUUCAUUUUUCUUAAGAAAAUUUGGCUUUCUGAAGCAUGUUUGCUAAUAUACAAUUUAGUUAACAAUUUGUGGAGCGUAGUCAUAAUAUGUACUUAUUCCUUCACCAUGUUUGCUUUGGCUAUUUUCUUAAUACACAUACAGAUGCCACUCAAAAGAAAGUUGAAGCAUGUGUUAACCAUAAGAUCUGCUGCUCCUCCAAACUCUGGCAAUGGGAGCCCAUCUUCUCGUGGACAAGGAGAGCACUCUGAUCAAUUACACAUUUUUGUGUCAACACCUUCUACAACUCAAUCAGGUAUAAACACGACAACUCAAUCUAUUGUAGAUCCUACUACUGUUGCGAGUACUACUGAGCAAGAUGCAUCCAAUAAUAUGCAUUUAAUAAUUUUGAAUAUACUGUAGAUUGAUUCAUCAAAAUUAAUUUUCUUUAAAUAUCUUUUAACUCUUUAUUAAGAAAAACGUGGAAUUAGUCGUGGGUUGACAGAAUAAUGGAUGCAAAUAAGAAAAAACUUGUACAAGCCAGGGAGGGACACAUUUAGUGAAACAUCUUGUCCAUUUGCCAAUGAGAUUUGCAUCAUCAUGUAAAACAUUGUUUCGCAGUGCUUAACAGGUUGGUAUGUAGCAACCCAUGAUAGGGAAGUAGCCUACGACCGACUUAGAUGCGAGCUGUAUUGGUUCAGAUGAAUUUGGAUGAUGCGCGUUUUUAGGAUUUGAUAAAAUGCUCCCAACUUGGCCAAUGGAAGAGAAACAACAGAAUUAUUGGAAGGCACUUUUACAGAUUCAUCUUCAUCGCUCUAACAAUAUUAUUUAGGACGUUUUGAAGGAGAACACAACAACUACGUUGUGGUUGACGCUGGAGCAAUUGUGCAUGGCUAAAAGUCUAACGAGCAAUUUGCAUCUAAAGCAGAGGUUGCUUUCUCAUUUCAUGGCAGAUGACAGAUCUUUGGAAGAUCAUUUAGCUGUGUUCAAGGAGAUCGUCGUUGAUUUAGAUACAUUAGACGUAAAAUAUGAUGAAAAAGAUUUGUCCUUAAUCUUGUUGUAUUCUCUGCCCCCAUCGUUCAAGGGGCAUAAUUUUGUAUAGUCAUGAUGAUCUCCUCAUAGAAGUCGUAUAUGAUGUCCUGGUCUCAAAGGAAAAGAUGAAACAUCUAGUUGGAUUUGAGUCCAAAGUUGAAGAAGGUCUUGUGAUUUAUUGUGAUCGACGAAGGGAUAAGUCAAGGCCGAGUUUCAGCAAUCAUGUUUGUUAUUAUUGCAAGAAGAAAUGACACAUUAAGAAAGAUUGCAAAAAAUUAUAAAAUAAAGGUACUUCAAUUGCAAAUCAUAGGAAGUAAUCAGACACUUUAAACGAGACCUACAUAGUUGAGGACAAUUUGAGUGAUAGAAAUGUCUUGAUGAUUUCUGAUGUAGAAUCAAUAAGAGUGGAUUUUAGACUCAGCUUGUACAUUCCUUAAUUGGAAUUGAAACAUAUGAAAUGGUGAUGCAAGGUGUCUUUGUCAUGGGUAAGAGCGAACUUUGUUGAGUAGCUGGUAUCGGUAGAGUCAUAUUUAAGUUGGUAGAUGGAACAUGUAGAACACCCGAUCAUGUUCGACAUAUUAUAGAUUUGAAGAAGAAUCUCAUUUCAUUGAGUACUCUUGAUUCGAAAUGGUACACGUUCUCUGGGGCAGGUGGAGUCUUGAGGGUCCGGAAGGGUGUUCAUGUUGUAUUGGAUGGGUAGAAGAGAUCCCAAUUAUACAUCUUGUAAGGUCAAGUAGAAUUAGUAAAGAAAAUUCGUCACAGGUUUAGUACCAUGGUGGAGAUUUUGUUUGGUACUGUACCUUUAGAAUUUGAUUCUGGGUCCAUAUUGAACAAUACUACUGAAUCAAGUUUAGAGGAUCUGAGUAACUUCACUUUGCUACCAUUGUCCAUGGUUUCAUCGUAUUCAACCGUUAGAGAUAGACCUAUUGGAGAUAAGUACGAGGAUGCUGAUUUAGUUGCGCUUUUGGCAUUUUUGAAGGUGUUGAGACUAGGAAGGGGCCUUCGAUGAAAGUAUUGAGAGUUGAUUCUGUUACAGGAUGUGUUUCGACCAUGUUUGGUAAAUCUUAAAUUCCUUGUAGAAAUUUUGGGAACCCGGUGUUUGGGUUCUGGUAUUUUUUGUGGAAACUGUGAAGAGGGAGAGUAAUUUUUCGUAAGGUGGAUAAGUUUUAUUCUAGUUGAAGAGUUCAGUCCAUUUCCCUGCAAUCGGACUUAUUUUUCUAGAUUGGAGCUUUGUUCGUUGCAUCGAAAUUCAUAUCAAAGUGGAGAUUUUUAGACUUUGGGUGUAACUCGAAUUCUUUGAUGAAGAUAAUUGAGAGUUCUAAUUAAAGUCUACAUUAAAAAGAAUUCUAUUUGGAAUGCUUUUGGAAUCAUAUUCGAAAUCUAUUGGCAAAUUCUAGUUGAAAUUCUAUUUGAAAGCUUUAUUAGGAGUUGCAAUUUGUAUUGGAUUUAAAGAUAUCAAGAUAAGGAAACGUUUGUACAUUCUAUUUCA